UCUCAAACAAAGGUCGCUGUUUAAGACUGUGUGACGUUCAACGGCAGAAUCUGGAACGCUCACCCAUAGCAGGGCACAUCUGAAUCAAUCAUCUCAUUAGAAGAGCAGUAAACGGUUCUGUCACUGAUUGGAAAAUGUUGAGACGAAGCAGCGUUUCCCCUCGUGGGAGACUCAGGAUCCCUCAAAAACAUCACUAACGUGUUCCUUCAGGUCAGCCAGGCCCCUAGCGCUUCGGUUUCUUAUCUGGAAUCCCAGCGAAACAGACUCAAGUGCCUCCCUGCAGAAGGUUGAUUUUGGGAGGCUCGUUCUCUUCAUUAGGCUUGGAUGACCUUGCUGAGGCUGAACAAGAGUACAAAACCUGUGAGUUAAAUGGGUGGAACAAAACUACAGCUGCUGCACCUUACCGGGCCGAGAGUCGUGACCUGAUCUUCCAUCUUUUACAUAAAAUGAGUCAGAUCUUCAGCUUGCUGCCACAAGUUUAGAACUUUGGGUCUCAGUUCUGCAUACACGGAUUCUUCUCUAAAGAAAUGAAUAUCCCUUCAGUAAGACAGAACAAAACCCGAGACCCUCUUUGGAUUGCAAAUCCAGAAGCAUUCGACCCUGCGGUUCUGCCAAGCAGUGUGAAACACCG
ensembl:lncRNA